GAGUGAAGCGGGAACAGCUCAAAUUUGAAAUCUGGGUCCGAGUUGUAAUUUGCAGAGGAUGCUUUUGGUGCGGUCCUUCCGAGUUCCCUGGAACGGGACGCCUUAGAGGGUGAGAGCCCCGUACGGUUGGCCACCGCCUGUGUAAAGCUCCUUCGACGAGUCGAGUAGUUUGGGAAUGCUGCUCAAAAUGGGAGGUAUAUUUCUUCUAAAGCUAAAUACUGGCCAGAGACCGAUAGCGCACAAGUAGAGUGAUCGAAAGAUGAAAAGCACUUUGAAAAGAGGGUUAAAUAGCACGUGAAAUUGUUGAAAGGGAAGGAUUUAUGACCAGACUUUUUCUAGGGAUCAUCCGGCGUUCUCGCCGGUGCACUUCCUAGUGAGGCCAGCAUCGGUUUUCCCAGGGGGAUAAAGCUUCGGGAAUGUGGCUCCGGGAGUGUUAUAGCCCGUUGCAUACCCUUGGGGGGACCGAGGUUCGCGCAUCUGCAAGGAUGCUGGCGUAAUGGUUAUUAAUCACCCGUCUUGAAACACGGACCAAGGAGUCGAACAUUUGUGCGAGUGUUUGGGUGUUAAACCCUCACGCGUAAUGAAAGUGAACGGAGGUGAGAGCGGUGCAUCAUCGACCGAUCCUGAUGUCUUCGGAUGGAUUUGAGUAAGAGCAUAACUGUUCGGACCCGAAAGAUGGUGAACUAUGCGUGGAUAGGGUGAAGCCAGAGGAAACUCUGGUGGAGGCUCGCAGCGGUUCUGACGUGCAAAUCGAUCGUCAAAUCUGCGCAUGGGGGCGAAAGACUAAUCGAACCAUCUAGUAGCUGGUUACCGCCGAAGUUUCCCUCAGGAUAGCAGUGUUGUUUCAGUUUUAUGAGGUAAAGCGAAUGAUUAGGGACUCGGGGGCCUUUAUAGCCUUCAUCCAUUCUCAAACUUUAAAUAUGUAAGAAGCCUUGUUACUUUAUUGAACGUGGGCAUUCGAAUGUAUCAACACUAGUGGGCCAUUUUUGGUAAGCAGAACUGGCGAUGCGGGAUGAACCGAACGCGAGGUUAAGGUGCCAGAGUAGACGCUCAUCAGACACCACAAAAGGUGUUAGUACAUCUUGACAGCAGGACGGUGGCCAUGGAAGUCGGAAUCCGCUAAGGACUGUGUAACAACUCACCUGCCGAAUGUACUAGCCCUGAAAAUGGAUGGCGCUAAGCGUCUCACCCAUCCUCGCCCUUAGGGUAGAAACGAUGCCCUAAGGAGUAGGC
rnacentral:rRNA from 1 species